ensembl:snRNA U4 U4 spliceosomal RNA
AGUUUUGCGCAGUGGCAGUACUGUAGCCCAUAAGGUUUGUCUGAGGUGCCAUUAUUGCUAAUUGAAAACUUUUCCCAACUUAAUAGAAAUAUAGUUAUCUUUUCUGUGUGUUUGUAUGAUGUAGUUCUUCAAUCCAGAAGG